rnacentral:rRNA from 1 species
GAAAAGAGAGUGCAAGAGAACGUGAAACCGUUAUAGUGGAAGCGGAUGGAGCCGACGUAUCCGCUGCGUAUUUAGCCAUUGUCGAGCGCAAUUUGUUCGUUUUUGGAGUUCUGCAAAAGUCUUCGACGAACAAUUGUUGUGAUCGGUGAAUGGUGCACUUGCGCAGAGAGUGCGCCGAAUCGGCUGGACUCGGCGUUCGAAAUCUGGCCAAGAGGACCAGUCCGCAAGGACCGGAAACCUGGGCAUCGGAUGGGCGACGAAUGAGUCUGGCUGCAUUGCAAUUAGGGCCGGUUGAAUUCUCGAAAUGUGUGGGGAAGUCUCGACGUUGUUUGGGAUGCGGCGCACGCGUUUCAUCCCACAACGCGCCUCUUUUUCCGGGCGUUUCUCAGCUGGUAUUCGGUGUCUAGUCGGUCACCCAUUUGACCCGUCUUGAAACACGGACCAAGGAGUUUAAGGUGUACGCAAGUCAUUGAGCGGAAAACUCAAAGGCGAAAUGAAAGUGGGACACUUGGUGUCUGUGAUGCGAUCCGUGUAUGAUUCGUUGUGUGCGGAGCAGCAUCGACCCAUGACCAGGACUUGUUCUGUUGUGGAGUCUGAGCGUACGCUUUGAGACCCGAAAGAUGGUGAACUAUGCCUGAACAGGACGAAGUCAGAGGAAACUCUGAUGGAAGUCCGAAGCGGUUCUGACGUGCAAAUCGAUCGUCUGAUUUGGGUAUAGGGGCGCAAGACUAAUCGAACCAUC